rnacentral:rRNA from 1 species
UACGUAGGGGGCAAGCGUUGUCCGGAUUUAUUGGGCGUAAAGAGCGUGUAGGCGGCCAGACAGGUCCGUUGUGUCGGUGGUGAAAGCCCCGGGCUUAACCUGGGAAUGGCCAUGGAAACUGGCGAACUGGAGUGUGGCAGAGGGGGGUGGAAUUCCCGGUGUAGCAGUGAAAUGCGUAGAUAUCGGGAGGAAUACCGAUGGCGAAGGCAGGUCUCUGGGCUAUAACUGACGCUCAUGCACGAAAGCGUGGGGAGCAAACAGG